CUCGUUUUACUUGUGGCAUAAAUGGGACCACAAAGGAGAAGGAAACCAACCUUAAUAUAGCACGUGUUUUGUUUAAUAGUUAACUACUACACUUUUUGUAUUGUGAUGUUUUGUUACCAUAAGCUAUCACUUCUAAUAAUCUAAUCCUUAAAAAAAAUUAGAUUUAACUGAUUUUUAUAUCACAAACUAUCAUAUUGUUGAUAAAGUUAAAU
rnacentral:lncRNA from 1 species